CUCCGGCCCACUCCACGGGAACGUGGCAGCGGCUCUUGAGAGGUGGCACUCCGAGGACCGGUCACUGGAUCGCUGUCCUAGCUCGCCAUGCGGGCGCACGCGGGAGUUUGGGAGCGUCUGGACCGCUGGUCUGUAGAAGAGCCAUUCCGAGCCGCCGCAGCUGCAGCAGCUGCUGACUCCCCCACCCCACCCCACUCCCGGAAUUGAAGAACCAGAACUCUGCUUUCUGCUGAUUUGUGCGCCGCAGUCACACUCCUCUGCGUGGUCCCUUGUCAUUGCCUCGGAUGGUCCUGGUGGCAGGAGCUUCUGAGGUGGCGGCUUUCACAUACAAAGUGGCAGUGACUACAGUGCCUAGCUUGCUAGCCCUGCAGUACACAGUCAAGACUGCUUGCGUGUUUCUGGCAUGCUUGCUGUUUCUGGCCCAGAUGCAGGAGGGCACUGCAUUCCUGAGCCAAGGUGAGCCAGCUGCUAGGGCCUGGAAGGUCAUACAGGACCCCAUCAGAAUUAAGGUGGCCAGUAACUCUGUACUCCAGGACCCUUGUGGUCCUCACUAGUGAGUGCCUUUGGGCUGUAGACUCUUCCUUUUAUGAAGACAGCAUUACCCCCUAGGGCUAUGGGGCAGAAGAUAUACCCUGACCAGCAUGCUGCCUGAACUUAACCCCAACUGGGCCUCCCACAAGGGUUGUAAGCCUGCCAAGAAUUACAGGACCCAGCCAAGUGAGCCUGGCUCUGCUGUGGGCUUGUCUUUGGAAGGAAGGCUGAAUAAACUGUCGACUGGAAGC